rnacentral:rRNA from 1 species
GACGAACGCUGGCGGCGUGCUUAACACAUGCAAGUCGAACGGAAAGGCCCUGCUUUUGUGGGGUUCUCGAUUGGCGAACGGGGGAGUAACACGUGAGUAACCUGCCCUUGUCUUUGGGAUAACUUCUGGAAACUGGGGCUAAUACCGGGUAGGAGCUCCUGCUGCGUGGUGGUGGUUGGAAAGAUUCGGCGGUUGGGGAUGGACUCGCGGCUUAUCAGCUUGUUGGGGUGGUAGUGGCUUACCAAGGCUUUGACGGGUAGCCGGCCUGAGAGGGUGACCGGCCACAUUGGGACUGAGAUACGGCCCAGACUGCUACGGGAGGCAGAAGGGGGGAAUAUUGCACAAUGGGCGGAAGCCUGAUGCAGCAACGCCGCGUGCGGGAUGACGGCCUUCGGGUUGUAAACCGAUUUCGCCUGUGACGAAGCGUGAGUGACGGUAAUGGGUAAAGAAGCAACGGCUAACUACGUG